UGGGGAAUUUUGCACAAUGGGGGAAACCCUGAUGCAGCGACGCCGCGUGAUUUAGAAGGCCUUCGGGUUGUAAAAAUCUUUUCUAUGGGAAGAAAAUGACAGUACCAUAGGAAUAAGGACCGGCUAAUUACGUGCCAGCAGCCGCGGUAAUACGUAAGGUCCGAGCGUUGUCCGGAAUCAUUGGGCGUAAAGGGUACGUAGGCGGGUAAGCAAGUUAGAAGUGAAAUCCUAUAGCUCAACUAUAGUAAGCUUUUAAAACUGCUCAUCUUGAGGUAUGGAAGGGAAAGUGGAAUUCCUAGUGUAGCGGUGAAAUGCGCAGAUAUUAGGAGGCAUACCGGUGGCGAAGGCGACUUUCUGGCCAUAACCUGACGCUGAGGUACGAAAGCGUGGGUAGCAAACAGG
rnacentral:rRNA from 2 species